rnacentral:rRNA from 1 species
CACGUAGUUAGCCGGUGCUUUUUCUGCAGGUACCGUCACUUUCGCUUCUUCCCACUAAAAGAGGUUUACAACCCGAAGGCCGUCGUCCCUCACGCGGCGUUGCUGCAUCAGGCUUGCGCCCAUUGUGCAAUAUUCCCCACUGCUGCCUCCCGUAGGAGUCUGGGCCGUGUCUCAGUCCCAGUGUGGCCGGUCACCCCCUCAGGCCGGCUACCCGUCGUCGCCUUGGUGAGCCAUUACCUCACCAACUAGCUGAUAGGCCGCGAGUCCAUCCUUGACCGAAAUUCUUUCCAACUCCUAGCCAUGCGGCUGAAGCUCGUAUCCGGUAUUAGACGCCGUUUCCAGUCGCUUAUCCCAGAGUCAAGGGCAGGUUACUCACGUGUUACUCACCCGUUCGCCACUAAUCCCCCAGCAAGCUGGAGUUCAUCGUUCGACUUGCAUGUGUUAAGCACGCCGCCAGCGUCGUCUCGUAGUCACGAGUCAACUACU